UACGGGGGGGCAAGCGUUGUUCGGAAUUACUGGGCGUAAAGGGCGCGUAGGCGGCCUGCUAAGUCGGAUGUGAAAUCCCUCGGCUCAACCGAGGAACUGCAUCCGAUACUGGCGGGCUUGAAUCCGGGAGAGGGAUGUGGAAUUCCAGGUGUAGCGGUGAAAUGCGUAGAUAUCUGGAGGAACACCGGUGGCGAAGGCGGCAUCCUGGACCGGUAUUGACGCUGAGGCGCGAAAGCUAGGGGAGCAAAGCGGG
rnacentral:rRNA from 1 species